ACGCACGCUGGCGGCAUGCCUCACCCCUGCCAGUCGCACGAGACCUUCGGGUCUAGUGGCGCACGGGUGCGUAACGCGUGGGAACCUGCCCUUAGGUUCGGAAUAACUCCCCGAAAGGGGUGCUAAUACCGGAUAAUGUCUUCGGACCAAAGAUUUAUCGCCUUUGGAUGGGCCCGCGUUGGAUUAGCUAGUUGGUAGGGUAAAAGCCUACCAAGGCGACGAUCCAUAGCUGGUCUGAGAGGAUGAUCAGCCACACUGGGACUGAGACACGGCCCAGACUCCUACGGGAGGCAGCAGUGGGGAAUAUUGGACAAUGGGCGAAAGCCUGAUCCAGCAAUGCCGCGUGAGUGAUGAAGGCCUUAGGGUUGUAAAGCUCUUUUACCCGGGAUGAUAAUGACAGUACCGGGAGAAUAAGCUCCGGCUAACUCCGUG
rnacentral:rRNA from 1 species